UAUAGAGACCACCUAUGUAUCUACUCAUAGUACUUGUCUUUGGGAUUUCCUAUUGUAUUUACUUUAUGUUUUAUUUAGUGAACUUACAGUUUGAACUUUAUCCCUUGUUGUUAGCAAUUAGACAUUUUCUAUGCUCUGAUACUCCUAGAUGUCUUUUAUUAUUGCUCUUAUCAUCGUUGUUUUUAGACGCCUUAUAUGUUGUAGACAUAUGGCGGGUCUGGGCACGCGCCGGGCGGGCUUUCGUUGGGUCCCGGGGCGUGACAGAUAUAUAUGCACAUGGUUUUGUGAAAUUAAAUAAAAUAGUCCGGGUUUUCAUGUAAAGUAUUGGAAAUGAUUUUCUACCCCUCGUGGUAGUGUUUAAAGAAAAAGGUUCCCGUGUGGUAAAUAGAUUUAAAAAAGGUUUUCGUGGAUUUAUAAUUAAACUCUAAAUGCAAAUCUGUUGUGAAUGGUAUAUGAAUGUAUAAAUGAUUAAAUGUUGUAUAUUCAUUUGUUGUGGUUGUAUCCUGGUUAUAUGUCUUGUACUUGUGCGACGCCGUGCAAAUACAGGGGAGACUCUGUCCGUGUGAAUAGUGGACUCCCUGUAUUUGUAGCGGAUCUGGCAUACUCUGGGGGUCAGGUUUUCAAAAAAAAAAUUUCGGACGUUUCUGCGGUGUUUUUAACCUAAAGGGACCCCGGGGCGUGACAUUGUUCCCACCCUAUUCUUAUUUAAAAAAUUUAAAAUAUAAAUAUUUAAAUUUAAAAUUUAAAUUUUUAAAAUUUAAAAUUUGUAAUCUCAAAAUUAAAGUUCAUAAUUCUAAAU
rnacentral:lncRNA from 1 species